AUUGAACGCUGGCGGCAUGCCUUACACAUGCAAGUCGAACGGCAGCACGGGUGCUUGCACCUGGUGGCGAGUGGCGAACGGGUGAGUAAUACAUCGGAACAUGUCCUGUAGCGGGGGAUAGCCCGGCGAAAGCCGGAUUAAUACCGCAUACGAUCCACGGAUGAAAGCGGGGGACCUUCGGGCCUCGCGCUAUCGGGUUGGCCGAUGGCUGAUUAGCUAGUUGGUGGGGUAAAGGCCUACCAAGGCGACGACCAGUAGCUGGUCUGAGAGGACGACCAGCCACACUGGGACUGAGACACGGCCCAGACUCCUACGGGAGGCAGCAGUGGGGAAUUUUGGACAAUGGGCGAAAGCCUGAUCCAGCAAUGCCGCGUGUGUGAAGAAGGCCUUCGGGUUGUAAAGCACUUUUGUCCGGAAAGAAAUCCUUGACUCUAAUACAGUCGGGGGAUGACGGUACCGGAAGAAUAAGCACCGGCUAACUACGUG
rnacentral:rRNA from 1 species